CUGAGACUCGCCCCCUCGGACACACUGCAUAGAUCCCAGGGGGGUUGCGUCUCUCCAGCAGCCAGGCUCUCUGGGGCCAUGGGGGGCCCUGAGGCAGGACACCGGGUGCCGGUAGCGGCACUGCUGACAAUCCUGGCUUCUGCUCUGCUGAUCCCAGAGACCGUCUCCCUGCGCUGUCACAGCCACAGCUCCGUCCUGCUCCGCGACCGGGGGGGUAAACCCCUCGACAGCAUCAUCACCCCCAAUGGGACCGAGUCCUGCGCCCCGGCCCACAGAGCCUGCAUGGAAGCUGCUGUCACCCUCAGCGCAGGGGGCAUGUCCAUGACUCUGAUCCAAAGGGGGUGCAGAGCUGGACACCCCAAGGGAGGGACCGAACCCCCCACUGCGCCCAGCAGAUUCCUCCACAUCCAGGCCGAUGUCCGCUACUGCCAGUCGGACCAGUGCAAUGCCAAGGGACUGGGGCUGGGGAGCCCCGGGCAAGGCACAGCUCCGGCCCCCAGCGGCCCCACCCAGUGCUACGCCGGCCUGAGCCUCAGCCCCCAGCCCCACACUCUGGAGCAGGUGACGUGCGACGGUGACGACGCCCGCUGUUACCACGGCAACGGCACCCUCACAGCAGGGAAGCUCGUGGUGCCCGUCUUCGUGUGGAGCUGCCAGGCCCCAUCCUGCGCCGUGCCCCCCAGCCGCCACGUCGGACCCCUGCAGCUCAGCCAGGCCGGCACCUGCUGCGCUGGCAGCUACUGCAACAGGCAGAGGGCCCUGGCACAGAUCUUCAUCCACCACAAACUCUCCUCCGUUCCCGUCAGCGACAACCCCCUCGCCUACGCCACGGCCAGGAAAGACCACAGACAGCCCUGGCGCAGCCAUGGCACGGCGCCCACGGAGCCACACGACCCAGACAACCACACAGAGACCGGCUAUCCGGACCAAGACAUCACCAGCUACUACGACCACACAGAGACAGACUAUCCGGACCGAGACAUCACCAGCUACUACGACCACACAGAGACAGACUAUCCGGACCGAGACCUCAACGGCUACAACAGCACGGAGCUACCCAACCCCCGCUACAAGGGGGACCUGCCCCACGGCACCCGCCCCCGCUCCCACCCCACCGAGCCCGGCAAGAAAAUCAGCUACCCCAAAUCCACCGUCCGCCCCAUCCAGAAGCACCCCAAUCCCAGGCCCCACAGCUCCCAGGCGCCCGCCCUACGCCUCUGCCCCCUGCUGGUGGUGCUGGGAAUAGCCUGCCUGGGGCUGUGAUGGGGGGCUGGGGGCCAGGAUGCCUGGGUUCUAUCCCCAGCUCUGGGAGGGGAGUGGGGUCUAGUGGGUUGGAGCAGGGGGCUGGGAGUCAGGACUCAUGGGGUGUCUCCUCAAUUCUUAGUAGCUAUGAGGAAAUUACUCCCCGCCCCGCCACAUUACCUGCCUCAGUUUCCCCACAUUUAAAGGGAGGGCUCCCAGAGAUGGGGGGGGGUUACGCCCCAUUUCCCUGAAUUGCUGUUGCUGCUGCUUUCAGUCCCCAUUAACCCUUUGUGGGGCCCCUGCCCUGCGCUUCCCCCCUCACACACACCCCUAUCCUGUUUUUAAUAAAGU
ensembl:lncRNA